CAUCUUCUGUGUUGCCUUGUUCUUAACCCAUAGCAUUUGAGAACAAGUCCCCAACAGAGUCAACUUCAAGGCAGCAAAGAUAAAGGAGUUCAACACUUGCAUAAAUAUGAGAAAGAAGGUAUGCCAAUUUAUGUACAAGCAUGGGAGGGUUAUUGAUUAAAUGAGGCAGAAGAUAGGUAGAGAUCUUGUAAGGCUGAUUAUGACUCGUUUUGCUACUUUUUUCUAACAUGGCAAGUAUGCAUAAACAUAGGAAUGCCUUGAGAAUUUUUGUUGUUAGUGAUGAGUAGACUACUAACAGCCUGUAUGCAUCUGUUGAAGGAAAGCAAGUUGUGAAAUGUGAACAUUAUCCUUUCACAACAAUUUUGGGCUAACAUGAAAAAAUUGCCUAUGAGUUUCACAACCACUUCUCGUUGCCUUGAGGAUAACAGAUGGGGAUGAAACACCUAGAAACUACGGAGAUCAUGGCAGCCAUGGAUGUUGUAAAGAGCAUAAUCAAAGAAACUUUUAAAUAGGAACCAAGUCUAUAGAAGGAGGUACUAGAGUGCUAUGAAAAGAGAUGGACAAGCCAAAUGGAGCAAAAACUGUAUGGGGGGCAGCCCUCUACUUGAAUCCAGGAUAGUUUUUUUUGGCAUAAGAGAUAAAGGUAGGAGCCAAGCUUCAUGCCUAAUAUCAGUGUUCAAUGACGUUUUGUGGAAGAUGGUGCCUAAUGAUGAAGAAAAAACCAAUAUUAGCAAGCAAACAGAUGAUUACGAGAGAUCCGAAGGCGAUUGCUUCUCAAAGCCAUUAGCAAUAAGAGAUAGAAACAAAAAAACCUAGUAAGUAACUAAGUAUCUAAGUAGUUGCCUAUUUUCCUUCUUCCUUGAUCACUUUGUUUUUGGUAACGUAGCACUAAUUAGUUUGGAAUUGUACUGUAGUUCUUUUGUGGGGUUCAUAUGGUGGCCUAGCUUAUGAGCUCCAAAGUUUAGGGAACAUUUUUUAGCCUUUGAUGUGCAACAUCUGGAUGGGAGCGUAAUUGGAGUGCCUUUGCUGAUAUCCAUACCAAGAAAAGAAACUGGUUAGAGCAUAAAAGGUUAAAUAAGUUGGACUAUUGUAGCUACAACCGGAAAAUGCAAAACAGGUUUAAAAAAAUUAAAGAGCUUGGUUCCAAGAGAAAGAAAUGCAAUCCACUGUUGCUUGAAGAAUUUUGAUGGAAAAAAUGGAUGGGUUGAUGCAAAUAAUAAACUUGUACACAAAGUUUAUGGAAAUACUUUGACUUGGGCUGUUGUGGAUGAAGUUGUUGGUGCAACUCAAGACCUAUAGGGGCGUCACUUGCGUAGGUCUGCUGCAGUUUGUGCUGCUACCGUUGUCAAACAGACCUGAGCAAGAAGAAACGUCUAAGAAACGCACGGGCUUAAGAUAUCGCUGUAGCAGAUGAUGGGAAAGAUGGAACAGAAGAAAAUAUGAACCAGAACCUUCUAAUCCAGCAGCAACAAUGGAUGAGGACGAAGAAUCAUGAUGGAGAUGAAGAGGCUUCCGGUUGAUUGAUGGUCUACUUAAUUAGCCAAUAGCCACAAGAUUGCAAGAAGGCUGCUUUUGUUGCUCGUUAUGUUCCAUUCGAACCUUGUUUGGUUAUGUAUUACUGGCGAAAGGGUCUCUAACUGAGUUGGUCAGGUGGUCUCGAUCUAUGUGAGAAAGUAUUUUUUUUAAUAUAAUGCCAGAGGCUGUCAUACUCCCCGCAGGGGAAGAGUUUUUUUUUGUUAUGUAAUUAUGUAUGACUAUGCUAUGUGACGGUGUUAUGAUGUGCUUCAGCAGUACUGCGCUGCUACUAGUGCUACUGCUAACUGCUAGAUAUUUAUUUGAUAAUUGAUAUUUCCUUUUUUUA